rnacentral:rRNA from 1 species
CUGAAACCGUGUGCUUACAAGUAGUCAGAGCCCGUUAAUGGGUGAUGGCGUGCCUUUUGUAGAAUGAACCGGCGAGUUACGAUUUGAUGCAAGGUUAAGCAGUAAAUGUGGAGCCGUAGCGAAAGCGAGUCUGAAUAGGGCGUUUAGUAUUUGGUCGUAGACCCGAAACCAGGUGAUCUACCCUUGGUCAGGUUGAAGUUCAGGUAACACUGAAUGGAGGACCGAACCGACUUACGUUGAAAAGUGAGCGGAUGAACUGAGGGUAGCGGAGAAAUUCCAAUCGAACCUGGAGAUAGCUGGUUCUCUCCGAAAUAGCUUUAGGGCUAGCCUCAAGUGAUGAUUAUUGGAGGUAGAGCACUGUUUGGACGAGGGGCCCCUCUCGGGUUACCGAAUUCAGACAAACUCCGAAUGCCAAUUAAUUUAACUUGGGAGUCAGAACAUGGGUGAUAAGGUCCGUGUUCGAAAGGGAAACAGCCCAGACCACCAGCUAAGGUCCCAAAAUAUAUG